rnacentral:rRNA from 1 species
CAAUAGCGUAUAUUUAAGUUGCUGCAGUUAAAAAGCUCGUAGUUGGAUUUCGGGUGGGAAUGGCCGGUCCGCCGUUUCGGUGUGCACUUGCUACGCCCACCUUGCUGCCGGGGACGUGCUCUUGAGUUCACGCUCGGGACACGGAGUCGGCGAGGUUACUUUGAGUAAAUUAGAGUGUUCAAAGCAGGCCUACGCUCUGAAUACAUUAGCAUGGAAUAAUGGAAGAGGACCUCGGUCCUAUUUUGUUGGUUUCUAGGGCCGAAGUAAUGAUUAAGAGGGACAGUUGGGGGCAUUCGUAUUUAAUUGUCAGAGGUGAAAUUCUCGGAUUUAUGAAAGACGAACAACUGCGAAAGCAUUUGCCAAGGAUGUUUUCAUUAA